UCCAUGAGGAUGAAAGUUCACCUGGAUGGAGCCAUUUCAACAUUCCUACUGACUCAGGGAGAUCAUCCGAGGAAAGUUCAGAUGAGGACACCAUAACCCGUGUUCACAAAUGGUCAAUAAACCCAGAUUCGGAGUGUUUAGUAACAGAACUUAGCCUGGAGCGGGUGUAACGUAAGUCAGCAGGUCUGAACCUUAGACUGUCUGGACCACCUCCUCAUUGCAGAGGUGGCGAUGCUGGGCCUGCCCUGCUCACACGGCUGAAGAGUAUCACUGGGAAGGAAGUGGGCUCGUGAGAUAAUCCAAUCCAGUGCUUCCCAGCCUUUAAUGAGAAAUGGUAAACCAGUGCAAGGAAGAGCACAGAUUCUGGAGUCAGAUGGCCGUCCAGUGAUGGAAUUCUGGCUCUGCCACUAUCAGCUGUGAGUUGAGCAAGCGCCCUGAAAACUGUGACGUGGAAAUUAUAACACGUGAGCACAGAGAACAGCACAGAGUGCAUUCCACAAAUUGUGGCUCUUGGCUGACCCAGACCCAGUGAGAGGCAGCUCUGCCCUGGCCCCAGGCUUCACAGGGCCCCAAUCCAGCCCCUACCCACUGGGGUGAGGACAUCACCUGGAGCUCAUGUGUCUUUCUGUAGACCACAUUCCAGCAGGUCACUGGGUUGCCAGGGGUUCUGCUUCCUCCCACCUGCCUCUUCUAGACUCCCCACCCAGAGCCUUUUAACACUGACUGCCAGUCCAGUGCUGGUAUGAGAAACUGGGACUCUGCACACUCUGUGGUCCACGACUCCUGCAGGGUGGGGCUGAUGUCACCUUCACAGGACUUCCACCCAAGGCUGCAGCCUUGAGAGGCUUCCUCCUUCCCCGGCCUGCUCCCCACUCUCUCACAGUUUCAGGUAAGAACAAACAGAAGUAGCCAGCGUCAUUACCGCGGAGAUCCCCAGGGCCAGCGCACAGCGACCUGUGCCUCUUGGUCCUUUCCUCACCAAAUCAGCCCUGGCGCCCUGGCAGAUGAGAUUCAGAUGCUCAGCACCCCCGCAGCAACAGUGAGGCAGCUCUGGCAAUAAGCAAAAAUGGUGGGCGGCAGCCUCCUGGAGCGCGCCGGGUCCGUGACAGUAGAGAAAGAAAGCUUUCUACCUAACACCUCCUCUCCUCCAGGACAGUUCGAACAAGUGUGGUCUGGACCCAGAGCAUUGGAAGGAGUCUGCUGCCAGCCAAAGGGCAAGCUGUUGCCCCUACCGAGCAGCCCUGCAGAGAGGCUGGAACAUCACAUGCAGCAUUUUUCCAGGUCACGCCAAAGUUGAGAUCUUUUUCCAAUCAGGGCACAAAGGAUUCCUACUUAGUGCUUUAAGAAGGAAAUCAUCGCUGUUUACCUUCAAAUGCAGACACCCUGAGUAAUUUCAGGCUGGUUUGGACAUGCAGGAUUUGAAGCAGAGCACAGCAAAACGGUUGAUAGAAUUAAUCAGGAUGUGAAUCAGUGCAAUUUGUUAGAUACUGCAACAAUGCCUUUCAUGCUAAUUUUUAAAUGGCAGAGGCCAUCAGGGGCUGGUGGGGACCAGUGUUCAGUGUCCUGUUGCUAGGAAGAGAGGGAUAACAUCAUAGUCUGCAGUCCUGGGCAGAUGCAUUUUGGGGCCUUAUAUUGGUUGUGCAAAUCUCAGCAGGUUUGGCAGGACAGGACUGCUGCUGUCGUCCCCAGCUGUGGAAAGUUAAAGAGAUCAAGUAGGCUGGGUGCGGUGGUUCACACCUGUAAUCUCAGCACUUUGGGAGGCUGAGGCGGGUGGAUCACCUGAGGUCAAGAGUUUGAGACCAGCCUGACCAAUAUGGUGAAACCCUGUAUCUACUAAAAAUACAAAAAUUAGCCAGGCAUGAUGGUGCACACCUGUAAUCCCAGCUACUCGGGAGGCUGAGGCAGGAGAAUCGCUCGAACCCAGGAGGUGGAGGAUGCAGUGAGCCAAGAUUGUGCCACAGCACUCCAGCCUGGGCAACAAGAGCAAAACUCCAUCAAAAAAAAAAAAAAGAUAAAUUAUUCUUGGCUGAAUAAAGAAUAAAACUCUACACACACACACACACACACACACUUUAUGAGAGGCACAUGCUCUGAAAUUGUGUAAAAAUAGUAUUAAUAAAUUGAUGUGAAUGUGGCUUCAAAAGUA